CAGAUAUGGGUGUCUGAGUAUUAGACUAUAGAUAUUAGGGCAACAUUGGGCAGGCUUACACCAAAAAAUUAAUGAAUAAUAUCGGUCUAAUUGAAAAGAAUGUUAAAACUUAUUUUAUUGAAAAGAAUUUCCUGCAAAUGGAGUAAACGAAAAUUCCAUUGGACGUCGAGUGUGGCAAAAUCGACGAACGAAAAAUAUGAGAUUGGAAGAAUACGAAACAUUGGAAUAUUUGCUCACAUUGAUGCCGGGAAAACGACAACCACAGAAAGAAUGUUAUUCUAUUCAGGAACCAUAUCAAGUAUGGGUGAAGUGCAUCAUGGCAAUACGGUAACAGACUACAUGGAACAAGAAAGAGAACGAGGUAUAACCAUCACAUCUGCGGCUGUUACUUUUUCAUGGAAAAAUUACAAGUUUAAUCUGAUCGACACCCCUGGUCAUAUCGACUUCACAAAUGAAGUCGAGCAGACACUUGGAAUACUGGACGGAGCGAUAGUGGUUCUUGACGGUUCGGCUGGAGUCGAAGCACAGACUAUGACUGUAUGGAAUCAGGCCAAUCGGUAUAAUAUACCCAGGAUAGUUUAUAUUAAUAAAAUGGACAGAAAAGAUGCAGACUUUGAAAAAAGCUUGCAAUCUAUUGAAUCUAAGCUAGAUACUCAUCCCCUGCCAAUACAAUUACCUUUGAAAGAUGAUAAAUCAUUAAUUGGCCUCGUGAAUGUUAUCACACUCGAGAAGAUACUAUUCAACAAAAAUAGCCAAGGAACAAAAAUUGAAAAGUCGAAGUUGACACAACAAGAAGAAAAUCUGUAUAUGCUGGCAAAAGAAAAGCGGACAACAUUAACGGACAAGCUUUCAGGCUUGGAUGACGAAUUGGCUAAUGUUGUUAUACAGCGAAAUUCACUGGAAGAAGUUUCUGAUCAGAAUUUAGUAGAUUCUCUUCGCAGAGUCACUAUCAGUAGAAAAGCAGUGCCGGUUUUACUUGGCAGUUCAUAUAAGAAUGUAGGAGUACAACCCCUAAUGGAUGGAAUAGCUUUAUAUCUCCCUUCACCCGGCAUAAGCCCAUGCGCAACACAGUAUAGUUGCUUUGAGGAUUCUCUCUGUGCAAAAGCAUUUAAAAUUAUUCAUGAUAAGCAAAGGGGACCAAUGACCUUUGUUAGGGUAUUCACCGGCAAAAUGAAAAAAAGUCAAAAGCUUUACAAUAUCCAGCAAGGGAAAAGCGAACAGAGUAGCCGCAUAUAUGCUGCUUAUGCAGAUGAGUAUGUGGAAGUACAAGAAAUGGAUUGCGGAAAUAUCACCGCCAUAACUGGACUAAAAUGUACAGCUCCUGGAGACUUAGUAACAUGCAGUUCUUCAUCUGCAAAUCGAGCUAAAACGAAAAUGCGAAAAAAUAAGAACGUAAAGCCUGAAGAAGUAGACAAUUUUUUCUCUAGAGGUGCAAGAGUGCCAGAUCCAGUUUUCUUCUGUUCUAUAGAGCCACCUUCUUUAUCGUACCAAGUGGCAUUAGAUAAUGCACUUCAGGAAUUACAGCGACAAGAUCCUAGUCUCAGGGUAGCACAGGAUGAUGAGACAGGACAGAUUGUGUUAGGAGGAAUGGGUGAGCUACAUAUAGAAAUCAUUAAGGAAAUUAUUAAAAAAGACUAUAAAGUAGACGUUCAACUAGGAAAAAUGCGAAUCGCUUACAAGGAGACUAUAGAUAAGUUGCUGAAGGACACAUACGUGCUCGAUCACAAGAUCGGUACGAGUAAACACACAGUAAAAAUUACACUCUCCGUAAUACCUAUUCAUAAAGGACAGGAAAAUUUAAUUUUUGAUCAGGACAAAGAGUGUGCGUCAAACCUUUCAAAAAUACACCCUAGAGUAUUAAGUGCUCUAAAGAACGGAGUUUCUGCUGCUCUUAUGCAUGGUCCUAAACUAGGAUGCCCUGUUAUUGAUGUGGGAAUUAUGUUACAUUGGCUAGAAGUCGGGAAAGGAACAUCGGACACGAUGGUGUGUGCAGCUAUGGCCCAAGGUAUCCGUAAGCUGUUUACCAGUGGUGGCUCCAGUUUAUUAGAACCAAUAAUGAAAGUGGAAAUCGUUGCUACAGAUGAAUCGGCUCCAGCUGUCUUGGCAGAUAUAUCUCGUCGAAGGGCUGCAAUAAAAAACGUUGAUGUUCGUAGAAAAAAUAAGGGGCGCAGUUUAAAAUGGUGGUUUAACUGGAAAGGUAAUUCAUGCCCUAAUUCCAUUGGCAGAAUUGAUCGGAUAUUCAACUGUGUUGAGGAUAAUUACGUCUGGAAAUGGUGCUUUUACGAUGGAAUUUAGUCACUACCAAUCGAUGGACAGUCACGUAGAACAAGAAACCAUUAAAAAAGUUACUGGCUUUUGAAUAAUAGGUGGCGCGUCUAUGUCUUCCUGGUGGACUUUGCAAUUAGUAAAAACAUGAGGACGCUUUGGAGAGACGGAACGGUCAGAUUGCGAGUGAAAUUCUUGGACAAGAGUUGUUGGGUAUCUUUUGGAGAAAGAAGAAUUGAUUAAACAGAUGAUUAAAGAUCAAACCAUUUUUUGUGGGAAAAGCAUAAACUCAGGGGACGUUAUCGCUGUUGGAGUACCAUGGGUUCAAAGAGCCCUUCAUCGACCCUAGGGAGGUCCAGUAUGCGUUGGAGACCGUGCAGAGGGGUGAUUUCACUUUAGAGGGCGUAGCUCUGAACCCCAACAGUCAGCGCAUACUUUGAGAAGUAGUCGAGGGUAUCGUAGUCUCUAGGCCGGAGCCCACGCCAAGACCAACUUCCCUCAUCGAUCAGCUCUGGGAGAAGGCAAACAGUUUACGAGUUCGGCCCCGUUGUAGCCAAUCCAAUAUUGGCAAUGAAGAAGCCAGAGAGGAGUGAGGGCGGUUUACUAUCUACGCCCUAAGGAGAAUGGCGCUCUCAGAUCUGGGGAGCUGCCCUUUUCCCUUGGAGAGGAUGAGGAGACACCAACGGAAGUUGGAGGAGACUUCGCGGGGGCGGUCUACGUCGUCCGAAGCGGACUAGAGGGACCUUCCUUAGCCGGUCCGGGAUGAGCCUUCUUGCUUCGUCCAGGAGGAUCCUUCCCGUUCGGUUCAGGGAAACCCUUCACAACUGAGGCGGAAUGACUUUCCUCGAACUUCCCGGAAACCGUUUACUAAAUUUUUAAAUAAAAUUUUUGUAAUUUAUUAAAUCGUUGUGUUAAGGGUGAUGGUUCAAUCCGACUUUGAAUUUUUUAAAUAGGUACGGCACUGAUUCCAUAUAUUUUUUUU